UCCGGAAUUACUGGGCGUAAAAGGCGCGUAGGUGGGCGCUUAAGUCAGGUGUGAAAACUCCGGGCUCAACCUGGAGACUGCACUUGAAACUGGGUGGCUUGAGGGCAGGAGAGGAAAGUGGAAUUCCUAGUGUAGCGGUGAAAUGCGUAGAUAUUAGGAGGAACACCAGUGGCGAAGGCGACUUUCUGGACUGUACCUGACGCUGAGGCGCGAAAGCGUUGGUAGCGAACGG
rnacentral:rRNA from 1 species